UCCAGACUCCUACGGGAGGCAGCAGUGGGGGAUAUUGCACAAUGGGGGAAACCCUGAUGCAGCGACGCCGCGUGGGCGAAGAAGUAUUUCGGUAUGUAAAGCCCUAUCAGCAGGGAAGAAGAAAUGACGGUACCUGAGUAAGAAGCACCGGCUAACUACGUGCCAGCAGCCGCGGUAAUACGUAGGGGGCAAGCGUUAUCCGGAUUUACUGGGUGUAAAGGGGGCGCAGACGGCGAUGCAAGCCAGAAGUGAAAGCCCGGGGCCCAACCCCGGGACUGCUCUUGGAACUGCGUGGCUGGAGUGCAGGAGGGGCAGGCGGAAUUCCUAGUGUAGCGGUGAAAUGCGUAGAUAUUAGGAGGAACACCAGUGGCGAAGGCGGCCUGCUGGACGAUGACUGACGCUGAGGCUCGAAAGCGUGGGGAGCAAACAGGAUUAGAUACCCCAGUAU
rnacentral:rRNA from 1 species